rnacentral:rRNA from 1 species
UGGGGAAUAUUGCACAAUGGGGGAAACCCUGAUGCAGCGACGCCGCGUGAACGAAGAAGGUAUUCGUAUCGUAAAGUUCUGUCCUAUGAGAAGAUAAUGACAGUACCAUAGAAGAAAGCUCCGGCUAAAUACGUGCCAGCAACCGCGGUAAUACGUAUGGAGCGAGCGUUGUCCGGAAUUAUUGGGCGUAAAGGGUACGCAGGCGGUUUAAUAAGUCGAAUGUUAAAGAUCGGGGCUCAACCCCGCAAAGCAUUGGAAACUGAUAAACUUGAGUAGUGGAGAGGAAAGUGGAAUUCCUAGGGUAGUGGUGAAAUACGUAGAUAUUAGGAGGAAUACCAGUAGCGAAGGCGACUUUCUGGACACAAACUGACGCUGAGGUACGAAAGCGUGGGGAGCAAACAGG